UACGUAGGGGGCAAGCGUUAUCCGGAUUUACUGGGUGUAAAGGGAGCGUAGGCGGCCAAGCAAGCCAGGGGUGAAAGCCCGGGGCCCAACCCCGGGACUGCCCUUGGAACUGCAUGGCUGGAGUGCGGGAGGGGCAGGCGGAAUUCCUGGUGUAGCGGUGAAAUGCGUAGAUAUCAGGAGGAACACCGGCGGCGAAGGCGGCCUGCUGGACCGCGACUGACGUUGAGGCUCGAAAGCGUGGGGAGCGAACAGG
rnacentral:rRNA from 1 species